CCUCUUCCCUCCCUGACGGUUGGCGGCGAAGGCGGCGGCGCCGAGAGAGAGAGAGAGAGGCGAGAGGUCCCCAAGUUUUGAAAGGAGCGGAUGGUUUGCUCGUUGCCCUGAAGCAUCUCACCGAGCCACGAUGGGCGCCUUGAGACGACGCUUUCUCGCGAGGUGGCAGUGUUGGGUUAAUGAGGCCCUGUGCUCGUACGCUGACGUUGUUGAAUCCGACAUGUUGAGAAAGAAGCACGUUCAGCAGAAUGGCGGUAUUUGGUGAAGCGGGGCCUUGGCUCUCUCGUGCCUCUUUGCUUUCUUCACGAGGAGCUCACAGCACGCAGAACCUCUGCCCUAAGAUACUCCGAUCUCAACGAAAACGUGAACGGAACCCGACACAGGGGAUUGUUCUAAAUAAAACCUUCCGCGCCCCCUCCCCCUCGGUGUUGGGGAGUGCCUGGUGUCACUCGGUAAAUCCCAGCGUGUGUUCGGUUCACCAUUGCAGCUAUUUAUUGAUGGCUCUUCUGCUCCUCACCCUGUAAACUGAAACCACGUAGGCGUAAAUUGGUGGGGGGGGUUCUGCGUCGCAAGCGAGAGGACCUGGGUUCGAUUCCC